rnacentral:siRNA from 1 species
UUGUGACCUAUUCCAAAAUGUC